rnacentral:lncRNA from 1 species
UAAACUCAUAAACAAUACGCCAAAUAAAAAGAUUUUUGUCUCAGGCCAACCAAAUAAAUAUAUCACAUCCAAAUAAAACUUAUAAAUUAUUUUCUGCUUCCUCAAUUGUCUUGUCUCCCACAAGGACGUUGUUGAUAUCAUCAACAAUGUUCUUAAGAAGUUUAUUUGUAUUCACUUCUUCAUCUCAUUUCUUAUGUUCAUCUUCUAGUGUAAUUUUUUCUUGUUCUUUUUCUUCUUUUGCAUUCUCUGUUUCUAGUGCAUUUUUUCUUUCUUGUUCUUAUUCUUUUUCAUCUUCAUCUUCUGGUGUCUUUUUCUCUUCAUUUUCUUGUUCUUAUUUAUAUUCUUCUUCUAAUGGUGCCUUAGUUUGUUCUUCUUCUUUUCUCUCUUCUUUUGUUGCUAGCGCCUUCUUUCUUUCUUUCUUCUUCUUUCUCUACUUCUAUUGCUGAUGCUUUCUUUCUUUCUUCAUCUUUAUUUUCUUCCUUUGAUAUUGUCUUUUCUUUCAAUUUCUCUAUAGUAUUUUUGUUUUUUUCCUUUCUUGCUUUCUUUCCAUCUUCUUUUUUAUUUUCUUCUUCUUUCUUUCCUUUCUACUGGUUGUCCUUCUAUACAUCAAUUGGUUCAUCGAGGAACAUCACCUCAUCAGUAUUGAUGGAGGCCUCUUCAAUAGUUGCUGCCUUAAUGAGCACUUUUUUAUACUGCCUUGAUUGCUGACAACCCUUACUGAUGAAUGCUCACUAAAGAGCUACACACCUGUAUUUUCAAGUAUUUAAGGUUUAUAAUAAACUAUUGUAUCUGCCAUAAAAGCUGGUAUAGAUUCUAUUAUAAUAAAAAAAGAUUAUAUAAAAUAUAUAACUUUUGUGAUAAAUAGAUAAGAUAUUACCUUGAUUUUCUUCUUAUCCUUUUCUGUCCUCCUUAAUCUCUCUUAUUUGAUGAAGGAAAUCAUAUCCUUCAUUUCCUUCUCCGAUCUAAACACAUGCUCUUUUAGAUUUUUGGCUACCAAUCUCUUUCCUACUACUCUUCAUCUGCUUGUCCCUAUACAAUGACAUGUCAUGACAUAAACCAUCCUCGACAUCCACUGAUGAGGUGAUCACAGUCAUACCAUGCAAAUAGGCCUUCAAGACUCCGAUGAAUUGGCCAUUCA